GAGGACUGAAAGGAGUGGUUGCAUCAGGUCUCCCCCACCCUUCUGCCUCCUGCGGUUGCGGCUUUAUUGUGGCCUCUGCUCCCCUGACACCUGCAUUUCACUUAGCGGGAGAGGCGGUGGCCAACUCAGCACAGGCUGCGGACUCAGCGUGGUGACAGAUCCCUCAAGCUAGAAGACUUCUGUUAGGAGAAGCGUUAUCCUGUCAGUUGAUUACCCUGAGUUAUUAUUAUUGCUGUUUGACAGAUGAAAAACUGACAUGGAGAAAAGUUAGACAAUUCCUCCAAAUCACAAAGAUAGUAAGUUGAAAACUUGUGAAAAGAACUCUGCUAUGUCAUAUUUCAAAGUCUAUGACCUCCCCUAUAUGGUACCUUCACUGAUGCUAUUGAAUUUAAAGCAAAUAAAGGAAAUGAAGCACAGCCCAAGUGUUGAUUGGUGGGAAGAAUAAAACAGUCAGAGUAAAUCUCACAUUGAAUGAACCUCCAGUGUUGUGUUGUUAGUUAGAAUUAAAGUCAUUCUCUAGAGUGUAACUUAAGACAGUAUGUCAUUUAAGGGUCAAGAAAUAGUCUGUUUACUCAGCAUUUAUCAGUCCUUUCUUUCCAAACUUUAAGCUAGCUAUAGAAAAAUUCCAGAGAGCCUGGGGAAAGAAACAAAAGGAAAAUUAGGGAAAAGACUUACAAGGUAUGAAGUAUUAGAGAACAUUUUAAAAGGAUAAUCUAUACGCUAUGUCAUUGAUGGCUGCAGCCAUUCUCUAUGCCCAUAAACUAAAUGGGCCUAACUCUUAACAGUGGCUAUUAGGUUAGUUAGAAGAGGCAUGUUUCUGAAAAUUCCAUAGUGAACUUCAUAGCCAGAGGAAAAUAUCUUAUACUUCUUUCUAUUCAAUCAUCCUUGACUCCGAAAGUGCCUCUUAUUUUCUUUUGGUGGAACAGUGGAAAAAAAAUAUCACACUGGAAGGCCAAUUGACUGAAAUCAAGUCCCUUUUCCUAACUGUGUGAACUGGGUCCUUCACAUCACUAUCCUUCAACAACAAGAAAAACAAAAAACAUCCUAUAAAUGUAUAAAGAAGAAAAUGAAAGUUCUUUCUUUGCUACCCCUAGUUCUCUUCCCCUUCCUAGAGGCUAAACUAUUUUGUGUGCAUGUGUGUGUGUGUGUAGAAUGUACACAUAUAUGUAGGGGAUUGGUUCUAGGACUCUGUCCCCUGUGAAUACCAAAAUUCAGGGACGCCUAAGUUCCUUAUAUAAAAUGAUGCUUAUAACCUACGCACAUCCUCCUGUAUACUUUAAAUAAUCUUGAUUACUUAUAAUAUCUAAAACAGUGUAAAUGCUAUGUAAAUAGUUGUUAUACUGUAUUGUUUAGGAAAUAAUGACAAGAAAAAAGUCUGCACAUGGUCAGAACAGAUUCAACCAUUCUUUUUUUAUAUAUUUUUUUCUGAAUAAUUACAAUCCAUGGUUUGUUGAAUCCACAGAUGCAGAACUGGUGGAUAUGGAGGGCUGACUGUAUACAUGUAUCUUCCCCAUAUAAAUAGAACAAUAUUUUAUAUACUGUUCUUCAAAUGGCAUUUUCCCUUUGAAGCUCUUUUCAAAUAUGUAAAAAUCUAUUUUUAAAAACUGCUGCACAGUAGCUCAUAGAAUGAAUCUACCAUAUUUCCUUUACUCUUUCCCCUCUUGGUGGUCCUUUAGGUGGUGUUUGGUUUUUUUCUAUUAUAAAUAGUGUGCAAUGACCAUGCUUGUAAGUGCUUCUAUACUCAUAUAUGUUUCUCUGAGCACAGAUGCCUAGAUCUAGAAGCCAAACAGAUGGGUUGAAGGUGAUACCUAAUUUUAACAUUUGAUGACUCCUGCCAAAUUACCCUCUGAAAAGAAUUUAACAAUUUAUAUUCCUUCCACAUCAUUGCCUCUUUCCCCACAUCAUAAUGUAAGUCUUCUUAUUUUUUACUCACCAAAGGGAGAGAAAUAUUUACUGUUUAAAACUGAGCACCUUUUAAACUGCUUUUCUUUCUUUAUUGGCUUAACUCUUCAAGAUGUGUCUUUUUUCUGAUUGGACUAUUGUUUUUAUCUUUACUGGCUUUUAGAAGCUCUUUAUAUAAUCUGGAUAAUAAGCUUUCGUCAUCAAUAUAUGUUGCAGAUAUUUCCUCUCAGUGUGUCAUCAGAUUUUGUAUUUAUGUCUAUUUAUUAUGUCUGUGACCAUACAAAUUAUUAAAUUUCUUAUAAGGUUAGGCUAAGCUUCUUUCUUUAUGAGUUAAUGGGGGUUGUCUGUCUUAGAAAGGAUCUCUCAUUCCAAACCUUAAAACUAUUCUCCUAAUAAUUUUAGAUUUGUUCAACUGAGAGAGUGCUUAACUCAGGAGAUCAAUAAAGGUUCAUAGAGGAAGAAGUAUUUGAAAUUGUCCUGGAAGAACAAUAUUUUUCAACAGGCAGAGAUGGAGAAAGGACAAUCUACAUGAACAGAACAGCAUGAGCAAAAAGAACUGGUGUUGUACCAGUAUAUACUUCUGCCAGUAAUAGAUGGGUGGGCUGCUGAUGCCUCAAAAUUUCCACAGGCUAUACAGGAAGCAUGG
rnacentral:lncRNA from 1 species